CUAAUUUUCGCAAUUGGCAAUCAGUCUUGUGUGCUUUAUGAGCGAAUUAGGACAUAAACGCUCACAUUAUUGUGGACGGCUUGCCUUCUCGUGGGGCCCGAGUGCAACCGAGAAAGGGAGUUGAAAAUGGUGCAGGCGCCGUUUGCAUGGAAACGUGUCUUUACAAGCGUGCCUCUACAAAGCACGAUAGUGGGGGCAACAACACCGAGAAGAAACUAACAAGUUGGCAAGCCAGUUUAUUCAAAUCAUUGUAUAUCUAGUGGUUUUGGAGUAUGUAAGAAUAAACGGAUAAAUCAUUACAAACGUGGAUUUGCCAACAGUAUUAUUACCUUGCGAAAGUGGAGAUUCAAGAGGAAAGCAGCCGAGGAAUGCCCAUGAUGAUAGAAGAGAUGAACACACAAACAACACUCCAGAAGUAGAAAACUUUUAUCGUGCAAAAGUCUGGCAGACACAAUGGUCUAAACGUGGAGAGCAGGAGGGAGGAUACAAUGGUUCAAACGUGGAGAGCAGGAGGGAGGACACAAUGGUUCAAACGUGGAGAGCAGGAGGGAGGAUACAAUGGUCUAAACGUGGAGAGCAGGAGGGAGGAUACAAUGGUCUAAACGUGGAGAGCAGGAGGGAGGAUACAAUGGUUCAAACGUGGAGAGCAGGAGGGAGGACACAAUGGUCUAAACGUGGAGAGCAGGAGGGAGGAUACAAUGGUCUAAACGGGGAGAGCAGGAGGGAGGAUACAAUGGUCUAAACGUGGAUAGCAGGAGGGAGGACACAAUGGUCUAAACGUGGAGAGCAGGAGGGAGGAUACAAUGGUCUAAACGUGGAUAGCAGGAGGGAGGACACAAUGGUCUAAACGUGGAUAGCAGGAGGGAGGACACAAUGGUCUAAACGUGGAGAGCAGGAGGGAGGACACAAUGGUCUAAACGUGGAGAGCAGGAGGGAGGACACAAUGGUCUAAACGUGGAGAGCAGGAGGGAGGACACAAUGGUCUAAACAUGGAGAGCAGGAGGGAGGACACAAUGGUCUAAACGUGGAUAGCAGGAGGGAGGACACAAUGGUCUAAACGUGGAUAGCAGGAGGGAGGAUACAAUAGUCUAAACGUGGAGAGCAGGAGGGAGGACACAACAGUCGAAACGUGGAGAGCAGGAGGGAGGACACAAUAGUCGAAACGUGGAGAGCAGGAGGGAGGACACAAUAGUCGAAACGUGGAGAGCAGGAGGGAGGACACAAUGGUCUAAACGUGGAGAGCAGGAGGGAGGACACAAUGGUCUAAACGUGGAGAGCAGGAGGGAGGACACAAUGGUCUAAACGUGGAGAGCAGGAGGGAGGACACAAUGGUCUAAACGUGGAGAGCAGGAGGGAGGAUACAAUAGUCUAAACGUGGAGAGCAGGAGGGAGGAUACAAUGGUCUAAACGUGGAGAGCAGGAGGGAGGAUACAAUGGUCUAAACGUGGAGAGCAGGAGGAGGUUAUAGAGCGGCUGGUCAGUGUACCUGCACACUCACUGUCCCUCUCAUCAAUUGAAUUAAUAUAAUUUAUUACCACUCUGAAGCCCAGGGAAGACCACAGGUAGCACAACACACACACACACACACACACACACACACACACACAGAGCUGGCAUUUCCAUGCAGUGACCCGUACCCCCACAGUGUCACCCUGUGGAAGAUGGCAGCAGCUGCCGAGCAGAGCUGAUGGUGGGUGGUGUAACUACAGUGUUUGUAAUCAGACUCCCAUCCGCUACACACUCUGCCUGCUAACAUAUUCUACAUUACCAGACAGCAGAGCAGAGCACCUCAGCCCUGUAUAUAUCUGCAUAGUAAUAUGACUAAGACAUAUCUGGGUAAUAAUAAACUCUUUAUUCUCUGUCCUCCAUAAAGAAAUGGAGGUAGAAUACUGUGUAUUAUCUGAAAGACUGAGUUUAGAAUGGCAUGUAAAGGGAGAUCGGAUGGGGGGAUGGUAUGUGGAAUUAGUUAGUGCCUUUGUGACAACUGUUGAUGUUCAAGUUUUAUUAUACUAACAUACUGUAUUAGUCAAUACAAACUAAAUAAACCUGUAAAAAGGGCUAAAAGUUUUAAUGUCAAUGCUUUUCUUGCAAUCUCCCAUCGGCUCCAACCUCCCAUCUGAGAACAUUUGAUUGACUAAUUUGCAGUUUUCCCCCUUCCUUUCCCUCCCCCCAUCCAGAGGGUGCUGUUAAAACGUUGUGU
ensembl:lncRNA